rnacentral:tRNA from 1 species
GCGCUCGUAGCUCAACUGGAUAGAGCGACAGACUUCGGAUCUGUAGGUUAUGGGUUCGAUUCCUAUCGGGUGCACCA